rnacentral:rRNA from 1 species
CGAUGGGGCACUUGGGUGUUGGGGGUAUUGAAGCCCCCUCGGGUGCCGGAGUUAACCACGUUAAGGUGCCCCCGCCUGGGGAGUACGGUCGCCAAGACUGAAACUCCAAAGGAAUUGACGGGGGCCCGCACAAGGCGGUGGAGCCAUGUGGUUCCAAUUCGACGCAACGCGAAGAACCUUACCAGGGCUUGAACUGUAAUUGCUACUCCAUGGAAACAUGAGAUUCUCUUCGGAGACGGUUAUAGAGGUGCUGCCAUGGCUGUCGUCCAGCUCGUGUCGUGAGAUGUUGGGUUAAGUCCCCGCAACGAGCGCAACCCUUGCCCUUAGUUGCCAUCCAGGUAAUGCUGGGAACCCUAAGGGAACUGUCGGCGAAAAGCCGGAGGAAGGUGGGGAUGACGUCCAAGUCCCUCCAUGGCCCUUACGUCCUGGGCUACCACACGUGCUACCAAUGGCUGGUACAAAGGGUUGCCAACCCGCGAGGGGGAG